rnacentral:lncRNA from 10 species
GCCUGGCCAACAUGGUGAAACCCUGUCUCUACUAAUAAUACAAAAAUUAGUUGGGCGUGGUGGCAGGCACCUGUAAAGCGAGCUACUUGGGAGGCUGAGACUGGAGAAUUGCUUGAACCCACAAGGCAGAGGUUGAAGUGAGCCAGGAUCGCGACACUUCACCCCAGUGUGGGUGACAGAGCAAGACUCUGUCUAAAAAAAAAAAAGAAAAAUGAAAUACUGGUAUUGACAUAUUUAGAACAAUUGCCUACACAGAACCAUAUUCAUUCAUUUAAACAAUACUUAUAGAGUGUCUAAUAUAUGUGAGGCAGCAGUGAUUGUAAUCAGUGCUUUGAACAAAAUACACAAAAUAAGGUAAUAUUUCCCUAAUGAGUUGGCUUUUGAACAGAGACAUCAAGGACGUGGGGAGGAGGCAUUGUGACCAUCGGGGAAGGAUAUGCUAAACAGGCUGGGCGUGGUGGCUCACGCCUGUAAUCCCAGCACUUUGGAAGGCUGAUCACCUGAGGUUAGAGGUUCAAGACAAACCUAGCUAACAUGGUGAAACCCUGUUUUUACUAAAAAUACAAAAAAAAAUUAGCCAGGUGUGGUGGCGGCCACCUGUAAUCCCAGCUAUUCGGGAGGCUGAGGCAGGAGAAUCGCUUGUACCGGGGAGGUGAAGUUUGCGGUGAGCCAAGACCACGCCAUUGCACUCCAGCCUGGGCAAGAAGAGCAAAACUCCGUCUCAAAAAAAAAAAAAAAAAAAAAAGCCUGGGUGCAGUAGCUCACACUUGUAAUUCCAGGUUUUUGAAAGGCCGAGGCAGACGAAUCGCUUGAGCCCAGGAGGUCAAGACAGCCUUGGCCACAGGGUGAAACCCACUCUCUACAAAAAAUACAAAAAAUUAACUGGGCAUGAUGGCGUGUACCUGUAGUCCCAGCUACUAGGGAG